AUGGCCCGUCUUCCCUUAAGCGCGAGACGUCGAAGAAGAAAUGUAGCAUUUAUUAAUCUGAUGAGUGCCAUUAUGCUUGUAUACUAUUAUGUGUGGUUAAUCUUUGGAUUAGCUUAUAGAAGAAAGUGUUGGCAAAUAGAAAGGAGGCUUAGAAUUAGAGAGCUAAGAGGAGAGAAUUUGCAUAAACUAAUUGGUGAGAGCGACGCAGCGUGUAUAAGUCAAUCUGAAGAAGAGUACAGGGGAGCAAGGGCAGGCAAAGAAGGAAGUAACAGGGGACAGACCUGGCCCUUGACCAUAAGGUUGGUGUGGGCGCCGCCGCCUUGGCCGCCCGCGACCAUCAGCUUGUUGUCGUCCUCCCCACAGUCCGGCGUCGACAUCCUCUCGGCCCUUCGCGCGGCAUGGGAUUGA
rnacentral:rRNA from 1 species